AACGUAGGAGACAAACGUUAUCCGGAGUUACUGGGCGUAAAGGGCGUGCAGGUGGUCUGUUAAGUCUGGCGUGAAAGCUCUCGGCUAAACCGGGAGAGGUCGUUGGAUACUGGCGGACUAGAGGACGGUAGAGGUGUGUGGAAUUCCGGGUGUAGUGGUGAAAUGCGUAGAUAUGGGGAGGAACACCGGUGGCGAAGGCGGCCACCUGGCCAGAUACUGACGCUGAGACGCGAAAGCGUGGGUAGCAGACAGG
rnacentral:rRNA from 1 species